UGGGUCAGGCAUCUUAAUUAAUUAGACUUUU
rnacentral:piRNA from 1 species